AAAAAUAUCUCAACGAGAAUCUACUCUCACGUUCUACACAUUGUUUUUUUAAAGUGGAAAAAGGUUCCGUACAUGACGAUGCGGAACUAUCAUAAUUCAUAUCAACUUGACGGGUAGAAGAUAGUUCUCUGGUAAACAUGUGAACGCAUUGUCAUCGUUAGAGCUGCACCAUUGCACUUUGGUAGACCCUUCCAGACCCAAAAACAACAUUUUACCCCACCGUGUGUGAUUAUAAUGUAGAGCAUAUGUAACAUAUAUAGUUUCAGCAACGGAUCAAUUGGCUCUCGCAUCGAUAAAGUAUGCAGUCAAACCGAUAAGUAAUAUUAAUACCGAAUUCAGUGAAUCAUCGAAUCUUUGAACGCACCCUUUGGUCAUUGUAAUUCUGAGGAGCAUGCCUGUUGGAUUGUCAGUAAUAUUGCCUCAAACAGUUCUUUUGUGGAAGGGUUACAUGCGGGGGAUGAUUGCGCCUCAAAAGAGUUUCAGCUCCUCUAAAUCAUCAAUUUUCAACGUAUCAAAAUUCUACAAUCUUUUCCUUCCAUUAAAAACAUUCAGCAUCCAACUAACUUUAAACACUCCAUCACUAAGUAUCAGAACAGCACCACGUAUCUAUAC
rnacentral:rRNA from 1 species